rnacentral:sRNA from 1 species
GCUGGGUGUGGUGGCGCACGCCUGUAAUCCCAGCUACUCUGGAGGCUGAGGCAGGAGAAUUACUUGAACCCAGGAGGUGGAGGUUGCAGUGAGCCGAGAUCGCGCCACUGCACUCCAGCCUGGGCGACAGAGCGAGACUCUGUCUCAA